GUGAGCUACUUCCUAGAGCCGUAGGGAAAAUGGGUGCUUGGUGGUAAAAAAAGUGACAACUAUCCCAGGACUCCAGGGUCCGGGUUAGAGAUCCAGGAAGGUGCCGGCUCCCACCAGACGGGAACUUCUACACAUCCUUCCAGGCCCAGAAAAAGCACCUCCUGCAGGAGCUUCCACACCCUUCCUCCUCCCAGCCAACUGCUCCUCCCACCACCUUAUUCAGAGCACCUGUCACUCUGCCCAGUCAUUAUCUGAUGGUGCCUGCACCAGUGGCCUGUGAAAGCCUCCCAAGCACCCUCUGAGGUGGACGAAGAAGAUGAUGGAAGCAAAGACUGACUAGGUGAAAAGCCCACAGGAAACCUCUACAUGUGCAGCUGGGCCCUUUAAUCCUCACAACAGCUGGUGCAGCGGGGACUGUCCUCACCGGGCCCAUCUGACACAUGAGGAAUCUGAGGCCCCGAGAGGCAAAUUCACUUGCCCCAGUCACACUGGAAGUGGCAGCGCCAGGACCUACCAGGACCUACCAGCCAUGGCUCCAGAUACCAUGGUUGUACCCACUGAGCUUCGGGCCUUUUACAGAUGAGGACGCUGAGGGCAGGGAACCAUCUGCCCAAACUCACCAUAAGUAGCACCGUUUAAUUUGUACCUUGGGGCCUCUGAUCCCCAAGCUCCACACUCCAUGUGCCCCCUGGUUUUGUUUUGCUUUGUUUUGAUUUGAUUUAUUGAUUUGAGAGAGAGAUUUGUUGUUCCACCUAUUUAUACAUUCAUCGGUUGCUUCUUGUAGUGCCCUGACCAGGGAUCCAACCAGGAACCUUGGCAUAUGGGGACAAUCUCUAACCAACUGGUCUAUCCUGCCAGGGAUCCGCAGCAAUAUAUUUUUGAAAGUCACCCAUGUUAACACGAGUGCUUCUAAAGUAUUUAUUUUUAAUGUUUUAUUAAUAUGUGAUGAUUUAUUUAUCUCUUUCCUUUUAAUGAACAUUCAAUUCAUUUUCCGAUUUCCUCCAUUACAAACAAUUCUUCUAUUAGUAUUUUUGCAUGGUCUCCUUGUGUACAUGUGUGAGUUUUUUCCAGGAAAUAGAUCUGAAAAUGGAAUUGCUAGACUAUACAGCAUUCCCACCUUCUACUUUAUUGAAUAAUGCUCAAUUGUUCUCCAGAAUAGUUGUGCCAAUUUAUAUUCCUACCGGCAGAGUAUUAAACCUCCCAUUUCCUCACAUCUAGCCCAACACUUGGUAUUGUCAGUUUCUUAUUUUUUGCUAAGUUGACAGGGAUGAAAUAAUACUUCUUUAUUAUUUUAUUUUGCAUUUCCUUGACUAUUAGUGAGGCUAAAAAACUUUUUGUAUAUUUGAGUAUUUAGAUUUCUGGUUCUGUGAUAUGCCUGUUUCUAAUCUCUAUUUAUAUUUCUAUUGGAUUUUGCCUUUUACUUAUUAAUUUGUGGAAGUUUUAUGUAUUAUGGAUAUUAAUCUUUCAUUAUAAACAUUGCAAGCACUUCC